rnacentral:lncRNA from 1 species
GCCCGUAGCUUCGUGUGUGCAGCGCGUGGCCGGACUUCAGCUCCCGCGAGGCUGGUUUCGAGGGAAAAGAUUAUUUUAUUUUUAAAAGCACAUGAAAGGAAUAUGGAAGAACUUUGGGAUACCUUGACAAAACUAAAACUUCAAAUUAUAGGUAUAGAUUAGGAAGAAGCAUCCUAAGCCAACACACACGUCUAUAAAGAUACAAGAAGCACACAGAAUACCAAAUAAACUCUUUACAGUAUAAUCAUGGUUAAACCACCAAAUAAUGCAGAACAAAGAAAAAUAUCGAAAGUUGAAAAAGCUACAAGUAACAUAAACUAAACAAAAUUAUCUGCUGUAGUUGAAGAAAAAAAACUUUCCAUGAUCCAAACAGUCUGAAGAAAUUCAUAUCCAAUAGACCAAGCCCACAAAGGAUACUGGAUGUAAUACUUCAGACUGAAGAAGCACAGCCAAGAUACUGCAGAAAGAGAGUGAGUGAAGCAUGAGGAGUAUGAGAGAAAACAACAACAUGACUGUAAACAAUACACACAACACAGGCUGGCUGAAAGAAUAAGAAACAAAAUCCAUCUUUCUAUUGUUUUUGAGGCCCCACAUUAGAGUAAAAGGAUGGAAAACAGUACUUCAAUCUAAUGGGACUAGGAAGCAAGAAGUACUGCUAUCCUAACAUCUGGCAAAAUAAACACACAAAAC